rnacentral:rRNA from 1 species
UACGGAGGAGGCAAGCGUUGUCCGGAAUCAUUGGGCGUAAAGAGCGUGUAGGCGGCCAGAAAAGUCCGCUGUGAAAACUCGAGGCUCAACUUCGAGCUGUCGGUGGAAACUUUCUGGCUAGAGUCCGGAAGAGGAGAAUGGAAUUCCUGGUGUAGCGGUGAAAUGCGCAGAUAUCAGGAAGAACACCCGUGGCGAAGGCGGUUCUCUGGGACGGUACUGACGCUGAGACGCGAAAGCGUGGGGAGCGAACAGG